GCGGGCGUAGCUUAGUUGGUAGAGCGUAACCUUGCCAAGGUUAAGGUCGUGGGUUCGAGACCCAUCGCCCGCUCCA
rnacentral:tRNA from 1 species